rnacentral:rRNA from 1 species
AGUGAACGCUGGCGGUAGGCCUAACACAUGCGAGUCGAACGGCAGCACAGUAAGAGCUUGCUCUUACGGGUGGCGAGUGGCGGACGGGUGAGGAAUACAUCGGAAUCUACUUUUUCGUGGGGGAUAACGUGGGGAAACUUACGCUAAUACCGCAUACGACCUACGGGUGAAAGCAGGGGAUCUUCGGACCUUGCGCGAUUGAAUGAGCCGAUGUCGGAUUAGCUAGUUGGCGGGGUAAAGGCCCACCAAGGCGACGAUCCGUAGCUGGUCUGAGAGGAUGAUCAGCCACACUGGAACUGAGACACGGUCCAGACUCCUACGGGAGGCAGCAGUGGGGAAUAUUGGACAAUGGGCGCAAGCCUGAUCCAGCCAUACCGCGUGGGUGAAGAAGGCCUUCGGGUUGUAAAGCCCUUUUGUUGGGAAAGAAAAGCAGCAGGUUAAUACCCCGCUGUUCUGACGGUACCCAAAGAAUAAGCACCGGCUAACUUCGUG